rnacentral:tRNA from 1 species
GCGAACGUAGCUCAGCGGUAGAGCACUGCCUUCACACGGCAGGGGUCACAGGUUCAAUCCCUGUCGUUCGCACCA